rnacentral:tRNA from 1 species
GCGCUUGUAGCUCAGUUGGAUAGAGCAACGGCCUUCUAAGCCGUAGGCCGCAGGUUCGAGUCCUGCCAAGCGUA